AGCUCCAAUAGCGUAUAUUUAAGUUGUUGCAGUUAAAAAGCUCGUAGUUGGAUUUCGGGCGGGGCCUGCCGGUCCGCCUUUUGGUGUGCACUGGCAGGGUCCGCCUUGCUGCCGGGGACGGGCUCCUGGGCUUCACUGUCCGGGACUCGGAGUCGGCGUGGUUACUUUGAGUAAAUUAGAGUGUUCAAAGCAGGCUUACGCUCUGAAUACAUUAGCAUGGAAUAACGCGAUAGGACUCUGGCCUAUCUUGUUGGUCUGUGGGACCGGAGUAAUGAUUAAGAGGGACAGUCGGGGGCAUUCGUAUUUCAUUGUCAGAGGUGAAAUUCUUGGAUUUAUGAAAGACGAACUACUGCGAAAGCAUUUGCCAAGGAUGUUUUCAUUA
rnacentral:rRNA from 1 species